ACGCUCGACACCUACGGGAAGCAGCAGUAGGGAAUCUUCCACAAUGGGCGCAAGCCUGAUGGAGCAACACCGCGUGAGUGAAGAAGGGUUUCGGCUCGUAAAGCUCUGUUGUUGGAGAAGAACGUGCGUGAGAGUAACUGUUCACGCAGUGACGGUAUCCAACCAGAAAGUCACGGCUAACUACGUGCCAGCAGCGCGGUAAUCUGAGCGGGCUGGCAAGGC
rnacentral:rRNA from 1 species